UAAUUUCCUUUCAAUACUUCUAUUACGGAACCCUAGAAACUGUACAGCCAGUUUGAUCACUGUAACCAGCAGUCUGUUUUGUUCGCGGUUCGAAGCGGUGCAUUAACCUUGUUUUGAAAUUUAUUUAAAACAUUUAACAUGACAUACGCUUUUUUGAUAGUUGUUUCCGUGGCUAUCACGUUUAAGUUAUUGUUUCUAGGUUUUUCAUUGGUGGUUACGUAUAAACACAGCAAAAGUGAUGCUAAGGCCAAUAUGCAGACAAAGCAGAACAAAAACCAAUCAUUAUCCGCGUGGAAACGCUUCUCUCGUAUUUUUAUACGAAAAUUAUCGUAUUGCCCCGAGACGUCCAAUAACAAUCAUAGUUUAAAAUUAUAGAAUGUAUAUUUAAAAUUUGCUUAAUAAUUAAUAAUGCGUUACAAUAGAUAUAAUCAUAUUUAUUUAUACUUAGAUAGUAAAUUACUUUAAGAAAUUAUAUGCAUUCAAGAUUAUAUAUUAUAAUAAUUGUUAUGAAAAUAUAUAUUUUAUUUAACUAUAUUUAGAAAUAAAUAAUUUAAUUAGGUAAUUCCAAUUUGUACAAACGAUAAUUAUAUUGAUUUUUU